AAGCUUACGCGCAAAUUAUCAAGAACUUCAAAAUUGUCAAUAGAAGAGGUUCUAGCACGUACAGUUCCGAUGUUUUACUACAAUUUGAUGUCCAACACAAUGUAAUGUUAUGCUGCAGACAUCGCCGCAGUGUACAACACUGGACAAUCGUAUUUGUAUGGUUUUAAUUUUCUUUAUUCGUACUCGGUCAUUUUCGACCCAGUAAUAUAGUUUACUUGGUGCUAGAGAUGUCUUUGCUGUUCAUGGGAGAUUCUAAUAGAGCUCAAUUUGUGGUGUAUAUUGAUAAACUGCAAAGAUAUGAUUUACUUAAUGUUGGUUCGGCAACUGACGUGAAGUUCUGUGGAUUUAGUGGCGGUUGUUUAACAAACUCGAACCAUGUCCUGUUCUUUCAAGAUUGAUUAGUGAAGCAUGUUUAUUUGUCAAUUUAUUCUAAGGCAACACACCCGCCACAUCCCAGCGUACAUAUACAAUGAUUUUAUUAUUACUGUCAUUAUAGUCUGAGAAAAGCAAACAUGGUGUUUAAGCAAGAACUUGGAAUACUUAACGUACUGGAAUUUGAAAGGAAUGAAACAUUCUAUUUUUAAAUGCUAAUAUUUUACAGAUAGAUGGUGUUCAUUUCAACAACCUGGGAUUUGAAAAUUUUCCACAAUGUGAGAGAAAUGAUUUUGAAGUGCAUUGCAGAUAUGUAAUUCGCACAUGUACUGGAAGAUACUGUAUUCUAAUUGGUGGCACAUUUGUAUCUAUAUUAUCAUAUAACAACAGCGAAGGCUGCUGCAGCUGGGGAAGCUGCUAAAACCGAACGAAGAACAAACCAAAUUGAGCAGGUUUCAGAAGCUAACACAUCCAAUUUAUCAGAAAAAGACUUGAACACAAUUAUAUCAAAUGUUGUUCCUGCUGUCACGCAAGGUAUGUUGUAGGUUUUAAAAGACUUGAAGGUACUACCGCCUGACUAUUCAGAACCAAAACUUCGGAAAAGAACAGAUACCUUUGGAAUCCACACAAAGCACUUCAACAUUGCUCCAACACCGACUUUGCCAGCUUCAGUUUUGAAUCAAAAUUCUGCCACAUUUUUGCAUCCACUUUUUCUUGGUAUUGAUGAAAAAAUCAAAGCUAAGAUUGUAUCAGAUCAGUUUGUGGAGUUAGAUUCCAUAUAAAAUAAAGGCGAUUAUCAAUACCAUUUAGUCGAAAAUGGCAGUGGGGAACUCUCGUUCAAAAAAGUUUUAAAUUGUCGACCAGUAUAAAAACGCUGGAUCAAAGGUUUAAUACAUUUCAUAUUUUUACAAGUGUUUACACAGACAGACACCCAACAUCUGCUGCUACUUUAAUGAAACAUUGCGACACAGUUCGUAAACUUGCAAAGCAAUCGGGGGAUUCCGCUGCCAUUUUUACGAUAGACAAUUUAGUGUCUUAAAAGAAGCAAGAUUGGCUUUGAUUUCAUAUGGGGAAAUCGAUACCCAGUUAUACACGCAGGCACUGGUCAUGGGGUUAAUUAAACCAAAACAAAAACAGUCCUUUCUUGGCGCAAGAUCCCACCAAAACAGACCGUGCUUUGAUUUUAACAACGGGUCUAGUGCCAGAAAAUCGUGCAUCUUUCAGUACAGAUGUCAAAAGUGCCCCAGUCCUCAUGGACGAAUUGUGUGUUUUUAAAAAGGUGCAAUCAAAUUUCAAGUCAAAGAACUGAUAACGAAACCGUAUGCAAGGUGCCUGCAGUCUUAAAUAAGGCUACUUUUCAUAUUGUUAAACCAAUUAAUUCUGAUAACCUACGAUACUGGCUCCAAGGUACUACUUGAAAUUAACUGAAUAUUUGAUGAAUGGCUUCACAAAGGGCUUUAAAAUACCUUUUACAGGUAUUCAUUCUUAUAAAUUUCCUGGGAAUUUCAAAUCUGCGACUGAAAAUUUAGAGGGCAUAAAAUCACUGUUGAAAUUGAUGCGGGUCGUGUUGCGGGUCCUUUGAAUGAACCACCUUUUAGCAACUUUAUGACCUCAACUCUGGGUUUAGUACCAAAUCAGGAACCCAGUGAAUUUCGUGGAAUACAUUAUUUCUCAUUUUCAGAAGGUCAACUGUUAAGGCUGGAAUCCCAUCAGAAUUGUGUUUUGUUCAAUAUUAAUGCAGUAGAACUUGUGAAAACUAUUGGACCUGGUACGCUUCUGUCAAAAUUUAUGUCCAGAAUGCAUUUAAAAUCAUUCCAAUUCAGUUGUAGGCUUGGUAAACAUCUCAGGACCUAAGUAUUAUAUGCCUGGUCAAAAGAUUAGUUCUACAAUGUUUGAAAUAUAUCUUUUUAUUUUAAGACACGCAUUUUAAAAGCAAUGCAAGGUUAUCAUAAUUUAGUUCCUAAAACAGACACACGUUUGCCAGUUGCAUAACUUAAUACGGUCAAUGGACGUAGUUUGCAAUUCGCAAUUUCUACGUGUACUGCUAACAGCCAUUUAUUUAUUGACCUUUUAUGUUUUCCUUCGAGUUGGAGAAUUUACUUCUUCCUCUCCUGACUCGUAUAUUAUAGUAGUAGAAUAUGUAUAUAUAACAUUCAAUCGAACUAAAUAGCUUUGACUUGGUUCUGAAAAGCUAUAAAUAUAGUCGAGGCAAGACCCAUAAACUGCAUAUUUCAUGUUGUCACUAUGAAUUAGGUAUGUGCCCUUUGCAUGCAUUGUACUCGUAUUAUACAUUAAGUAACGCUCCACCUGGCCCACUAUUUUCGUUUUUGAUAAUCAUCCAGUGACAAGAUAUUUCUUUUGUACCAAGCUUCAAAUGUCACUCACUCGGUUAGGUUAUAGUAAUGACUUUUACAAAGGUCAUAGUUUCCGCAUUGGUGCGGCAUUGCAAAGAGGUUUAUGGGGAGUUUCAGAA
rnacentral:lncRNA from 1 species